rnacentral:rRNA from 1 species
CCUACGGGUGGCAGCAGUGAGGAAUAUUGGUCAAUGGGCGAGAGCCUGAACCAGCCAAGUCGCGUGAGGGAGUACUGCCCUAUGGGUUGUAAACCUCUUUUGUCGGGGAGCAAAAGCCGGACGUGUCCGGCUGUGAGAGUACCCGAAGAAAAAACAUCGGCUAACUCCGAGCCAGCAGCCGCGGUAAUACGGAGGAUGCGAGCGUGAUCCGGAUUUAUUGGGUUUGAAGGGUGCGCAGGCGGAUUUUUAAGUCAGCGGUAAAAUCGUGGGGCUCAACCCCAUCCAGCCGUUGAAACUGGGGAUCUAGAGUGUGCGAGAGGUAUGCGGAAUGCGUGGUGUAGCGGUGAAAUGCAUAGAUAUCACGCAGAACCCCGAUUGCGAAGGCAGCAUACCGGUGCACAACUGACGCUCAGGCACGAAAGCGUGGGUAUCGAACAGGAUUAGAUACCCUUGUAGUC